UACAGAGGAUGCAAGCGUUGUCCGGAAUUAUUGGGCGUAAAGAGCUCGUAGGCGGCUUGUCGCGUCGGCUGUGAAAACCUAGGGCUCAACCUGGGCCUGCAGCCGAUACGGGCAAGCUAGAAUUCGGUAGGGGAGACUGGAAUUCCUGGUGUAGCGGUGAAAUGCGCAGAUAUCAGGAGGAACACCGGUGGCGAGGGCGGGUCUCUGGGCCGAUAUUGACGCUGAGGAGCGAAAGCGUGGGGAGCGAACAGG
rnacentral:rRNA from 1 species